rnacentral:rRNA from 1 species
CUACGGGAUGCAGCAGUGAGGAAUAUUGCACAAUGGGGGGAACCCUGAUGCAGCAACGCCGCGUGGAGGAUGACGCAUUUCGGUGUGUAAACUCCUUUUGUAUGUCAAGAAAAUGACGGUAGCAUAUGAAUAAGCACCGGCUAACUCCGUGCCAGCAGCCGCGGUAAUACGGAGGGUGCAAGCGUUACUCGGAAUCACUGGGCGUAAAGGACGCGUAGGCGGGUUGGAAAGUCAGGUGUGAAAUCCUACAGCUUAACUGUAGAACUGCACUUGAAACUUCUAAUCUAGAGUAUGGGAGGGGGAGAUGGAAUUAGUGGUGUAGGAGUAAAAUCCGUAGAUAUCACUAGGAAUACCUAAAGCGAAGGCGAUCUCCUGGAACAUUACUGACGCUAAGGCGUGAAAGCGUGGGGAGCAAACAGGAUUAGAUACCCCCGUAGUC